UGGGGAAUUUUGGACAAUGGGCGAAAGCCUGAUCCAGCAAUGCCGCGUGUGUGAAGAAGGCCUUCGGGUUGUAAAGCACUUUUGUCCGGAAAGAAAUCCUUGGCUCUAAUACAGUCGGGGGAUGACGGUACCGGAAGAAUAAGCACCGGCUAACUACGUGCCAGCAGCCGCGGUAAUACGUAGGGUGCAAGCGUUAAUCGGAAUUACUGGGCGUAAAGCGUGCGCAGGCGGUUUGCUAAGACCGAUGUGAAAUCCCCGGGCUCAACCUGGGAACUGCAUUGGUGACUGGCAGGCUAGAGUAUGGCAGAGGGGGGUAGAAUUCCACGUGUAGCAGUGAAAUGCGUAGAGAUGUGGAGGAAUACCGAUGGCGAAGGCAGCCCCCUGGGCCAAUACUGACGCUCAUGCACGAAAGCGUGGGGAGCAAACAGGAUUAGAUACCCUGGUAGUCCAGCGCCCUAAACGAUGUCAACUAGUUGUUGGGGAUUCAUUUCCUUAGUAACGUAGCUAACGCGUGAAGUUGACCGCCUGGGGAGUACGGUCGCAAGAUUAAAACUCAAAUGAAUUGACGGGGUCAUAGCUG
rnacentral:rRNA from 1 species